rnacentral:rRNA from 1 species
CACCAGCCCCUCGAGUGGUGGGGAUGAUUAUUUGGCCUAAAGCGUCCGUAGCCGGCCGGGUAAGUUUCCCGUUAAAUCCAGCGUCUCAAGCGUUGGACUGCGGGAAAUACUGCCUGGCUAGAGAGUGGGAGAGGUCAGCGGUAUUCUGGGGGUAGGGCGAAAUCCUUUGAUCCCCGGAGGACCACCAGUGGCGAAGGCUGCUGACUAGAACACGUCUGACGGUCAGGGACGAAAGCUGGGGUAGCGAACCGGAUUAGAUACCCGGGUAGUCCCAGCCGUAAACGAUGCAUGCUAGGUGUUGGGUUGGCCACGAGCCACCCCAGUGCCGCAGGGAAGCCGUUAAGCAUGCCGCCUGGGAAGUACGAUCGCAAGAUUGAAACUUAAAGGAAUUGGCGGGGAGCACCACCAGGCGUGAAGCCUGCGGUUU